rnacentral:rRNA from 1 species
UACGUAGGGUGCAAGCGUUAAUCGGAAUUACUGGGCGUAAAGCGUGCGCAGGCGGUUGUGCAAGACAGAUGUGAAAUCCCCGGGCUCAACCUGGGAAUUGCAUUUGUGACUGUACGGCUAGAGUGUGUCAGAGGGGGGUAGAAUUCCACGUGUAGCAGUGAAAUGCGUAGAGAUGUGGAGGAAUACCGAUGGCGAAGGCAGCCCCCUGGGUCAAGAUUGACGCUCAUGCACGAAAGCGUGGGGGAGCAAACAGG